rnacentral:misc_RNA from 1 species
AUUCCUUGGUUCCUGGUUCAAGCUCUACAGAACCAGAAAAGAAAAAGUCUUUUUUAAUAUCAGACCAGUAACCUAAUUAUGAAACUAAAAAUGCUUAAAAAAUAUUUCAAUUUUUGCUGAGGGCAAGAAAAUGAAAAUACCAAAGCAAAGAUUUAGGUAUAAGUAAAAUCGAAAACUUGACAAAGUUGCUAAAGGGCCCCAUAGCUCAAAUGGAACAAAUAAAGAAAAGGUUUUCCAGGGCAAGGAAUAUGCCAUAAUUGUCACCCAUGAAUGAGUGACAGGAUCUAACAUGACAGUAACAUUCACUAUGUGUGAAGCCUGGCACUUCAAAA